AUGCUCUCGGAGGAGGCUGACUCUGUGGUUUGGCCACUUACGGCCUCUGGGCUAUUCUCGGUCAAAUCGUUGUAUUCUAGACUCAUUGGUGGUACUACUUCGGCUCGCUUCUCUUGUAUUUGGAAAUCUAAGGUCCCUCCUAAGAUCAAGAUUUUCCUCUGGCAAGCCUUCCGAGGUCGCCUUCCUUCUGCUGAUCAGAUCAAAAAACGCAAUGGGCCGGGCUCGGAAUUCUGUAACUUGUGUGGGGCUUUGGAAAACUCUAAUCACAUCUUUUUCAACUGUGUUCUUGCCAAAUUAGUUUGGUCUUGCGUAAGAUCAUGGCUUCGGGUCUCCUGGGAUCCCUCCUCUUUCGCAGACACUAGAACCCUAGCCAAAUCUCUGGUAGGGGUCACCAAGAGGGUAUUCUGGGUUGGCUUGGGAGCCUUAUGUUGGGCUCUUUGGACCAUUAGAAACAAAUUUACUAUUGAACUUACCUUCCCAUCUAAGCCUGCUGACGUUCUUUUCAAAUCAUGUAUAUUCUUGCAGCAGUGGAGAUUAUUGACUAAGGAGCCAGAUCGGGACGCCCUGGACCUGCUCAUUGCCAAAAUUUGGGCUUCAGCCUCAGAUCUCCGGGACGAAUCAUGGCGUAUAAGCCUGGUGCUGUAG
rnacentral:rRNA from 1 species